CAGCAGCCACGGGAACACGGAGGGUGCAAGCGUUAAUCGGAAUUACUGGGCGUAAAGCGCACGCAGGCGGUCUGUCAAGUCGGAUGUGAAAUCCCCGGGCUCAACCUGGGAACUGCAUUCGAAACUGGCAGGCUAGAGUCUUGUAGAGGGGGGUAGAAUUCCAGGUGUAGCGGUGAAAUGCGUAGAGAUCUGGAGGAAUACCGGUGGCGAAGGCGGCCCCCUGGACAAAGACUGACGCUCAGGUGCGAAAGCGUGGGGAGCAAACAGGAUUAGAUACCCCGGUAGUCCCUGUCUCUUAUAC
rnacentral:rRNA from 1 species